UACGUAGGGUGCGAGCGUUAAUCGGAAUUACUGGGCGUAAAGCGUGCGCAGGCGGUUCGUCGUGUCCGAUGUGAAAGCCCCGGGCUCAACCUGGGAAUGGCAUUGGAACUGGCGGGCUUGAGUGUGGGCAGAGGGGGUGGGAAUUCCGCGUGUAGCAGUGAAAUGCGUAGAGAUGCGGAGGAACACCGAUGGCGAAGGCAGCCCCCUGGGCUAACACUGACGCUCGAGGCACGAAAGCGUGGGGAGCAAACAGG
rnacentral:rRNA from 1 species